rnacentral:rRNA from 1 species
CGGGUGAGUAACACGUAGGUAAUCUACCUUUGGAUGGGGAAUAACCACCGGAAACGGUGGCUAAUACCGCAUAAUGCAGCGGCACCUAAUGGUGACAGUUGUUAAAGCGGGGGAUCGCAAGACCUCGCGUCUAAAGAGGAGCCUGCGGCAGAUUAGCUAGUUGGUAGGGUAAUGGCUUACCAAGGCUAUGAUCUGUAGCCGGCCUGAGAGGGCGGUCGGCCACACUGACACUGACAUACGGGUCAGACUCCUACGGGAGGCAGCAGUCGGGAAUUUUGGGCAAUGGGCGAAAGCCUGACCCAGCAACGCCGCGUGAAGGAUGAAAUCCCUCGGGAUGUAAACUUCGCAAGAACGGGAAGAAUAAGUAAGGGUUAAUAUCUCUUACGAUGACGGUACUGUUUGUAAGCUCCGGCUAACUCCGUGCCAGCAGCCGCGGUAAUACGGGGGGAGCAAGCGUUGUUCGGAUUUACUGGGCGUAAAGGGCGCGUAGGCGGCCACCGCAAGUCAGUUGUGAAAUCUCUGGGCUUAACCCAGAAAGGUCAACUGAUACUGCGGGGCUAGAGUGCAGAAGGGGCAACUGGAAUUCUCGGUGUAGCGGUGAAAUGCGUAGAUAUCGAGAGGAAC